rnacentral:misc_RNA from 1 species
AACGCACCUUGCGCUCUUGGGUUAUUCCUAAGAGCAUGCUUGUUUGAGUAACAGGAAGGCUCUACCCCGCUUUCUUUAUUGAGAGUAGACUUGGGUUAGGAUCAUGACAGUUGUGCUGGUUCUUGUUCAAUCAGCUCUGUCGAAAGACAAGCGGCCGAACUUUGAAAUUUGUUGCGAGCUUCGGCUAACUUAUUGUUGUAUAACUUUUAGUCUCGAUAAGUUUAAUGCGCGCUUUUCAAUUUAAGUAGGCUUUGAAAACUUAUCUAAAGUUUCCUAAAAGACUUUUAUUAGUCGGCGGAAUUCUUAUAACUUUUGGAUUUAAACUUUUUAUUGCUUGUUCUCAAAUCAAGUAGGACUACCCGCUGAACUUAA